rnacentral:rRNA from 1 species
CUGGUCUGACAGGAUGAUCAGCCACACUGGAACUGAGACACGGUCCAGACUACUUCGGCACGUAGCAGUGGGGAAUAUUGAGCAAUGUCGGCAACCCUGACACACCCACGCCACGUGGACCACGACGCAUUUCGGUGUGUAAACUCCUUUUCUCAAGGAAGAUAAUGACGGUACUUGUUGAAUAAACCCCGGCUAACUCCGUGGCAGCAGCCGCUGUCAUACAGAUGGUGCCAGCGUCACUCGGAAUCACUGAGUGUAAAGCGCAUGUAGGCGGACUUACAAGUCAGGUGUGAAAUCCUAUGGCUCAACCAUAGAACAGCACUUGAAACUGUAAGUCUAGCGUUCGGGAGAGGCACAUGGCAUUUCCGGAGUAGGAGUAAAAUCCGCAGAGAUCGGAAGGAAUACCUAUUGCGAAGGCGAUCUGCUGGAACGCAACUGACGCUCAGAUGCGAAAGCGUGGGUAGCAAACAGGAUUAGAUACCCUGGUAGUCCACGCCCUAAACGAUGGAUGCUAGUUGUUGGGGAGCCAGUCUCUUCAGUAAUGCAGCUAACGCAUUAAGCAUCCCGUCCUGGGGAGUACGGUCGCAAGAUUAAAACUCAAAGGAAUAUACGGGGACCCGCACAAGCGGUGGAGCAUGAGGUUUAAUUUGAAGAUACGCGAAGAACCUUACCUGGGCUUGACAUCCUAAAA